CUUGAAUGCACCAAAAAGAUAAAUUCUUCUCCAGUAUUAAAUAACGGUUGGGGGGAAAGUACUUCUUAAUGAUCAUUUAAAAUUGGUUAAGCGGUAAAAGUUCUAUUGUGCAUCUUAUAAAUGCAUCUUAUAAAGGUUUGCUAGUCAAAAGCCCAUAGCAUAAAAUAAAAUAAAAUAAAAUAAAAUAAAAUAAAAUAAAAUAAAUAAAACAAAUGAUCUCUAGUCCCUUUAAUCAGGAAUUCAGUCAAUGUAACUAUUUCUUUGGGUAAUCACCACUGUGUGAUUACACA